rnacentral:lncRNA from 1 species
GCUGGCACAAAGCGUCUAGCCAAGCGACAGUUCUUAAACUCCCCUUACCAGAUCAUCGUUGGCCUUCCCCCUGGACAGGGUCCUAGUGAAAAUGGACAUUUUAGUGCUUGGAAAGCUAAUGGGAAGCAGAGAUGCUGCUGCUGAUGACAGUAUUGUGCUAUUACACGUUUAUACAAUACUUUACACGCUCUUUGCAAGACACUUUCCAAUUACUGUACUUAAGUCAAGCGUCACAGCAGCCAAGUCAAUUCGCACGUUCUCCCAUUAGCUUAUUAACAAUCUGCUCAUAAAUCGACUCCGCAGUGCCUGUAAAAGGGCGCCAGGAAACUUAUGGCUUUUUCUCGGGGCCUCUCAGAUGAGCUCAGGGAAACCCUGAGCUCUCGAGGCAUCAGCUCGGGAGCUAG